GCCUGGGUGGCUCAGUCGGUUAAGCGUCUGACUUCGGCUCAGGUCAUGAUCUCAGGGUCCUGGGAUCAAGUCCCACAUCGGGCU
rnacentral:tRNA from 1 species